rnacentral:tRNA from 1 species
GGGAUUGUGGCUCAGAGGGAGAGCGCUCGCCUUGCAGGCGUGAAACACUGGGUUCGAUCCUCGGUACCA